AGAGUUUGAUCCUGGCUCAGGAUGAACGCUGACAGAAUGCUUAACACAUGCAAGUCUACUUGAACUUCGGUUUGGGUGGCGGACGGGUGAGUAACGCGUAAAGAACUUGCCUCACAGUUAGGGACAACAUUUGGAAACGAAUGCUAAUACCUGAUAUUAUGAUUUUAGGGCAUCCUAAGAUUAUGAAAGCUAUAUGCGCUGUGAGAGAGCUUUGCGUCCCAUUAGCUAGUUGGAGAGGUAACGGCUCACCAAGGCGAUGAUGGGUAGCCGGCCUGAGAGGGUGAACGGCCACAAGGGGACUGAGACACGGCCCUUACUCCUACGGGAGGCAGCAGUGGGGAAUAUUGGACAAUGGACCAAGAGUCUGAUCCAGCAAUUCUGUGUGCACGAUGAAGUUUUUCGGAAUGUAAAGUGCUUUCAGUUGGGAAGAAAAAAAUGACGGUACCAACAGAAGAAGUGACGGCUAAAUACGUGCCAGCAGCCGCGGUAAUACGUAUGUCACAAGCGUUAUCCGGAUUUAUUGGGCGUAAAGCGCGUCUAGGUGGUUAUGUAAGUCUGAUGUGAAAAUGCAGGGCUCAACUCUGUAUUGCGUUGGAAACUGUGUAACUAGAGUACUGGAGAGGUAAGCGGAACUACAAGUGUAGAGGUGAAAUUCGUAGAUAUUUGUAGGAAUGCCGAUGGGGAAGCCAGCUUACUGGACAGAUACUGACGCUAAAGCGCGAAAGCGUGGGUAGCAAACAGGAUUAGAUACCCUGGUAGUCCACGCCGUAAACGAUGAUUACUAGGUGUUGGGGGUCGAACCUCAGCGCCCAAGCAAACGCGAUAAGUAAUCCGCCUGGGGAGUACGUACGCAAGUAUGAAACUCAAAGGAAUUGACGGGGACCCGCACAAGCGGUGGAGCAUGUGGUUUAA
rnacentral:rRNA from 1 species